rnacentral:lncRNA from 1 species
AAAGUUAAGCGCAUAAACAAUACAAUCAAAGAACAAAAUAAGGAAAACUAAAAGCAUGAGAUAUGCUUACUUUGUUAUUAUAAGAAUUCAUAAGUUUUUCAUAUUCAACUUUGCGCAUAAACAAUAAAACGAUUUUUUCAUCAAGUCAUUCAUCUAACGUUUCUAAAAAACCCACCGUCAAAUAAAAAAACAAACCAAAUCCAUAAUCAUUACAAUGAAAAAACAAAAGAAAACAAAAA